GUCUGUGAAGGUGCUGCAUGGUUGUCGUCAGCUCGUGCCGUGAGGUGUCGGCUUAAGUGCCAUAACGAGCGCAACCCCUUUUUUCAGUUGCCAUCAGGUGAUGCUGGGCACUCUGGAGAUACUGCCACCGUAAGGUGUGAGGAAGGUGGGGAUGACGUCAAAUCAGCACGGCCCUUACGUCCGGGGCUACACACGUGUUACAAUGGCCGGUACAGAGAGUUGGUUGUGUGCAAAUACGAUCUAAUCCUUAAAGCCGGUCCCAGUUCGGACUGGGGUCUGCAACCCGACCCCACGAAGCUGGAUUCGCUAGUAAUCGCGCAUCAGCCAUGGCGCGGUGAAUACGUUCCCGGGCCUUGUACACACCGCCCGUCAAGCCAUGAAAGCCGGGGGUGCCUGAAGUCUGUGACCGCAAGGAACGGCCUAGGGCAAAACUGGUGAUUGGGGCUAAGUCGUAACAAGGUAGCCGUACCGGAAGGUGCGGCUGGAACACCUCCUUU
rnacentral:rRNA from 1 species